GGGCAGGGGGAGGGGGCUGGAACAGCUACUGUCAGAUCUGAAAAGGAAGGUGGAAGAGCGCGGGAGCCACGACGCCAUGUCCCGGGUUGCUUUGUAGGUAGCUUUGUGUCUUGAGCCUUCGAUAAUGCAAACAACCAGCUCCAUGCGACCCAACCGAGUGGUUUUACAGGUGUCAAACUGAGGCCCAAGGGAGGGAAGCAUCUGGUUAAAGAGUAUCUGCUGUGAGUCCAGACAGAGUCCUGGUGAUCUAGCACACAUAGUUCAUCCUGUCAAAGGCCCAGUUUUCUUUCUCUGUUUCGUACCUCAGGCUUUUGUCAGACUUCAGAAUGAACGCUGAGUUUGGAGCCUAGCAUGGAGUAAGUGCUCUAUAAAAGUGGUGCACGUAACCCAGUGACAUAACCCAGUGCCUCACAGCUGUGCCGCUUGGAAAGGAAGCUGGGCCGUUCCCAAAAUGAAAUAAAACAGAACUUGAAAAAUUA